AGGGUAUCUUGCUGGAGAUCCCUGCUUAUCUGAGGUCUUCUGAAGGAGAAUGAGGAAUAUCUUCAUCCUUCGUGCUGCUGCAAUUUGAGUGAACAGCUUUAUGAUUAAAGAGUCUUAUCAGUUUUGGAGGUGAAAUGGGACCUCAGCGAUUCAAGGGGAGAAAAGUAGGAAAGUCAUAAAAAGUGAUGCUUUUGAGAGGAUCUGCGGAUGGCUGCCAUUUAUCGAGACAGAUGAACUCAUUUGCAGGAAAAGGAAAGGCAGAGAUACAAAGAUUGACAUUUCUACUGUGUGGUUUGAAGCUAUAAUGUAAAGCUCGGGGUCCCUCCUGUCCAUGGAAUGCUCAUCUGCUGUGCGCUCUCUGCUGGUUAUGGGAUCAAGAUGCCUUGGCUGGCUUUCACCUCACAUAACUCUGAGAGCAGAAAAUAAUCGUGUCCACCUGACCAGUCACCCUCAUGAAUGAAAAGAGCUGUGUUUCAGUAGUGUGGCUAUUUUAAACAAAUUCUUUCAGAAGAUGCAGCAUGAUAUACAGGUGCCUCUUUCCUCCUGUUGACUACAAAAGAAAUUAACCUGCAGUUACGUAUCCUGAGGGUGGGUGAAAUGAAUCUUCCUCCUUUUUCUGCUGAAGGAAUGAAUAUGUUGGGAUAAAGGAAAAACUGCUCAGGUUUCUAUGGCAAAUGCACUGCAGGCUGGGGUCACAUCUUCUCAGUGUCCUGUACCACAGAUGCUAAUGGAUCCCAGCUCAUUUAAUAACUGCAAGAAAGGCAGAUCAGGGAUGCCAGCUCAUAAAGAAGGAAGCAAACAAAGCAGGCUGUCUUGGCUCCCACCAUGUGACAGCAGAAACACUAUUGGCCAAGUGGAAAAAGACAAAAUCUGUUGAGGAAGAAAUGCUAUUUUCAAGCUUUAUAAGAGGAACCGCAAACAUUAAGAAUAAACAAACUGGAAAGUAGAAAAUAUUGGGUUUGUUCCCCAUUUAGUGUUUGCAAGAAUGACAAGAUGGAACAUGCUGGACUUGCUGGAGAUGUGUGAGACUACAGUGUGCUGAAAUACUUGUCUUACAAAACUCGUGGGUUAAAUCACUAUAUAAGCAAGAUAGCUUUGAGUAGAUUUCUUCUAAUGGGUGGCUCUUUGGCUUUGUUCUGUAUGGUGCUGCAUGUCCUCUGACAGUGCUGAAGGUACCUGGAGGGUUUCACAGCAUCCUUCUUUGUGCUCAAUUUUUAUGUGGUGGAGGGAACUGUUUCAUUUCUUACAUCAUUCGAAGGCAUAUCAAAUAACAGUAUUUAUGCAUUUUUCUCUCUCUGCAAUUAUAUUUUCACAUUUUCCUGUUACUAUGUUCCUGCAGAUUCUAUAGCUCACAGUCUGUGAGGCAUCUGAUUUGUGCCACAGAAAUGUUGCAUACAGGGAUUAACACAGUUCAGAGCAGAUGUAGGGGAGCUUUCAGUUAUGUGGGCAGCUGUUUGGGUUUCUUCACUGGAGAGAAGUACCAGACUGACUGCAUUUCUGACAAAAUACACACCCUCCGCCUACUUUGCACCUUCCUGCAAUCUUGUCAGGAUUGGAAAAAUCUCAGCCUAAGAUCUUUUUCUAGCCCCUGCCAUGCAAAAUGCAUCAGUUUUGUACUUAGCUUCACGUUUCUGAUAUAUUUUGCUUCACUUUCACUUUAUUGAGUAUAUAACCUGAAGGAUUUAAGCUGUCCCCACCUAUGCUUCUUUCUGCAGCCUUAAUCUUUGUAGGAAAAGCCCUGGGAACAAACCAGCCCUUCUGUGUGUAACUGGAAACUUGGGGUAAGCAGCAGGGUAUUCAAUGAUGAGAAAAAUUUCUCCAAGGCCAUAUUAGUGUGUGUGGAUGAACCGGGAAUAGUCACAGUGAAUCCUGAACCUGAGAAGUAAGUGGAGUUUCUAAGUGUACAGUGAGAAAUCUGACUCUCUUUAAAAGUACUAAUAAGAAUACUUUGUGGAUUGAAAAGAUGUCCAAGAGCCCAGCUGUUCUUUAUCUAAUUAAUAGAGAGACUAGAUUUAUUAACUUCUGGGGUCUUGAGAUUUGUAUUGCAGGCUGGUAGGCUGACAUUUCUGUAAGUGUUUUGAUCAUCUGUGCAAAGGGCUGAACGCCUUGUUGAUGGCUGGUGCACUAAGUCCUUUGCAGUCAUUUGUAACCUGACCGCAUGCGCAAAGCAGUGCUUGGUAAUAAACCA